AGGAAUAAUCGCCAUGUCGAACGAAAAAUAUUGGACGAAAAUUGAAGAAAAAAAUCAAGUCGGUCUAAAAUCACAUCGUGUGUGGACAAAUUCUUUCGUAGAAAUACUUCUCUGCCUCCAACAGAUGGCUAUGAAAAUGACGAAAAAUACAUCUAAAAUCGAAGCAGCAAAAAACGUUCAGUCACAAAUAUAGGCAAGGAGGCUGUUAAUUUCCCAACUUCGACACUAUGCAAAAUGUGGCCAUGCUACAGAAAAAAUUCACGGAAAUUAUGAUAAAAUCUUACUGGCAGCGGAUCGGUAGCAACUGCAACACCGCCAGCUUCAUAAAAAGUCGGAAAACUAAUUUUGGGAAUACGGUGGUUAAAAUGACAACAACAAAAACAAACAAAACGGCGGAAAUUACGGCAAAAUUAUGGCAAAAUUUACAGCGGUGUUUAAAAAGAAAGGAAUAAUCGCCAUGUCGAACGAAAAAUAUUGGACGAAAAUUGAAGAAAAAAAUCAAGUCGGUCUAAAAUCACAUCGUGUGUGGACAAAUUCUUUCGUAGAAAUACUUCUCUGCCUCCAACAGAUGGCUAUGAAAAUGACGAAAAAUACAUCUAAAAUCGAAGCAGCAAAAAACGUUCAGUCACAAAUAUAGGCAAGGAGGCUGUUAAUUUCCCAACUUCGACACUAUGCAAAAUGUGGCCAUGCCACAGAAAAAAAUGACGGGAAUUAUGAUAAAAUCUUACUGGCAGCAGAUCGGUAGCAACUGCAACACCGCCAGCUUUAAAAAGACGGAAAACUAAUUUUGGGAAUACGGUGGGGAAAAUGACAACAGCAAAACAAACAAAACGGCGGAAAUUAAGGCAAAAUUACGGCCAAAUUUACAGCGGUGUUAAAAAAAAAUUAAUAAUCGCCAUGUCAAACGAAAAAGUCGGUGAACAAAAUGACGGGAUUUACGGUAACUACAUGUCAUUUUUAAGUCCUUUUUUUUCCGGCAGAACUAUAUACGUGUACAGGAUGCAUUAGGAAAGAAUACUGCAUAAUAGCAGUGUCGAGACAUUUUUGUACAUUAUGGGCGGCACGUUGUGUGUCCAUUAGAACAAAAUAAUCGUGUCAGUUUUUAAAAGAAAAUCAUGGAAAACAUUGAAAUAAAUACGCAUGGUAAACACGGGUAAAAUAAUUCAUUUCUAAGGUUACAGAUAAGCUUAUAUUAGAAAUACAUGUAGUUAUUGGCUCCAUUGGAAUGUUUCUCUUCAGUAACAAUUGGGCUAGGCCCAGUGUUUUCAUACCCCUGUUUACUUAGGAAAGAGUUGCAGCUUUCAUCGGAGAAACUGAUGAUCUAUCACAGUUGAGACAGACUGGAUGAGCUACGCUGCUUUGUUAGGACGAAAAUGGACCCUUCCACAGCUUCAUCUCACACAACUUAACUCAAGGAACCGGAAGCAGGGAGGAGGGCCGACAGAUGAACGGAUGACCUGCUUGCUGGGCUUCCCAUUACUGAUUCUUGAGAAAAGGAGUACCGACAGACAUGCAUAGAACUGGCUGGCUGACGAGGCUGCUUCAGUCGGUGAGGAUGACAUCAUCCAUGCAGACAACCUAGGACCCGGAAGCAGGGAGGAGGACCGACAGAUGAACUGAUGACCUGCUUGCAGGGCUUCCCAUUACUGAUUAUCAGAAAAAUGAGGACCACUAACUGAUGAAAGAAUUGCUCUACUGGGAUUGAUGAGCCUGCCUCAAGACAUCGUCAGGGCUCCAACAGCUUCAUCACACAGAAGCCCGAGGAACCGGAAGCAGGGAGGAGGACCGACAGAUGAGCUGAUGACCUGCUUGCUGGGCUUCUCAUUACUGAUUCUUGAGGAGCACUAACUGGCUGGAUGACGAGGCUGCUUCAGUCGGUGAGGAUGAGAGGACAUGGCCCCAAUUUCAAAAACAUCAUCCAUGCAGACAACCUAGGAACCGGAAGCAGAGAGGAGGACCCACAGAUGAACUGAUGCCCUGCUUGCUGGGCUUCCCAUUACUGAUUCUUGAGGACCUUCUGCAACUGAACCAGAUGGAUUCUGCAACUGGAUGUAACAUGCUUGACAUGGAAGAGAAUCUUACGUGUUGACUUUAAGAGGAUGAAGCUUCUCCACAAAUGAAUGCCGAGGAACCAGAAGCUGGAAAGACCGACAGAUGCCUGACCCUCCUUGCCGAGCUGGACAUUACUAAUUCUUAAGGUGCAAGAAAGAGACCAAGAACAUGAGGACCACCAAGCUUGGAUGAGACUGGACAAUGACGAAGCUGAUCUGUCUGGACAAGGAUCGUCUCAUCAGAAACCAAGAACCGGAAGAAGCAAGGAAGGAAGACCAACAGAUGAACUGAUGACCCUGGUUUCUGUGCUUACCUUUACCAAUUCCUUAAGUUAGUUUUACUCAAGGAACAAGAAAGAAUAAACAAGUACAAUUUAGAGGAAGUCUCAUCUACAGUGAAAAUUUUUUUGCGUGUUGGCGGUAGUGCUAAAGCCCCAUGCCAAUUUGCCAAUGAAACAAAAACACUGUUGCCAUUUAACUUGAUAGUGCAUUUUGUUUCAAAGAUAACUAAUUUAAGUGAAUACAAGAGUUUUAAACACUUUCAAAAAAUUAGACUGUUUGAGAAAUUUACAAAUUUAAGAUGUCUAUGUAGAUAAAAUGGGUUAUUUUCUUUACAAUUUUAAAUCGAUUAGAAAAAAUCAAGAAUUUAAAACUUUUGGAAAGUUUCAAGAAUCACUGGGAGUUGUUCAGGAAUUGUGUAUGUACCAAAAUGUUGGAAAAUUUAAGAACUGUUGAAGACCUCUCCCCCUCACCUACCUUAAAAAGUUUUAAUGGUUCUUCUUUGUUCCCCCUCAGAAAACUCCUUAAUGCAUUGCAACAGGUUACUGGCACUCAGAUUACAUUGUGUAUAUCCUUUUGUGUUGUCUGUUUGAUUGCACGUUUUCACUACUAACUUAUUUUAUUUUGUUCACUUGGUGUCUUUUGGUGGUUUUGCAUGUCUUUUUGAUUUUACUUGUUUAAUUAACCCACAAAAGGAUAAACACAAUGUAUACCGAGUGCUGAACUUGCCUCAUCAAAAAUUGUGUUCACAUAAUAGCCAAAUCAAAUAAGAUAAUGCUUAAAAUAUUGCAAGACAUGAUCUCUUAAGUAUCAAAUUUUUUAAAAGUGGGGGGGGGGGGAUAUCCCCUAGGUUUUAUGUUCCUUUUAAAUUUGUUAAUUCACACAAAAGGACCAGCUUUAAUACCCUCUAAUGUUAUUAUUUUUUUCUAAUGUUUUUUUUUUUUUUAUUAAAAGCUUAAUUUACGUCUAAGCAUUCAAGUAUCAGAAUUGUUGGCAUACCCAAAUGUUUAACUCAUCUAAUGUCCGUACUGAAUUGCUUCUAAACAAAUCGAAAUAAUUAUUAUAAGGUGCUCCUAUAUUGGCUUCCAAAGACCAAUUAUAAUGUCACCUGAUCUGUUUAAACAAUCUGAAAUAGUUUUUGUGGAAAAAUUUUUCAUUUCUCAAAUUGUUUUCUCAUCUAGAAUCCAUGAUCAGUAUUUGUUUUGUAAGGAAUUUGUUUAAAAACAUUUGUAUGUCAAUCAGGUGACAAGAAUAAAAACUGAAUGAAAUGAGAUCAUUGAUAA